UUGCUUUGGCAGCACACAUACUAAAACUGGAAUGGUACAGAGAAGAUUAACAUAGCCCCUGAGCAAGUAUGACAUGCAAAUUCGUGAAGAGUUCCAUAUUUUA